GAUGAACGCUAGCGGCAGGCCUAACACAUGCAAGUCGAGGGGUAGAGGAAGCUUGCUUCCUUGAGACCGGCGCACGGGUGCGUAACGCGUAUGCAAUCUACCUUUUACAGAGGGAUAGCCCAGAGAAAUUUGGAUUAAUACCUCAUAGUAUUUUCGAAUGGCAUCAUUUGAUUAUUAAAGUUCCAACGGUAAAAGAUGAGCAUGCGUCCUAUUAGCUAGAUGGUAAGGUAACGGCUUACCAUGGCAACGAUAGGUAGGGGUCCUGAGAGGGAGAUCCCCCACACUGGUACUGAGACACGGACCAGACUCCUACGGGAGGCAGCAGUGAGGAAUAUUGGACAAUGGGCGCAAGCCUGAUCCAGCCAUGCCGCGUGCAGGAAGACGCAUCUAUGGUGUGUAAAUUGCUUUUGUACGGGAAGAAACACUCCCUCGUGAGGGAGCUUGACGGUACCGUAAGAAUAAGGAUCGGCUAACUCCGUGCCAGCCGCCGCGGUAACAC
rnacentral:rRNA from 1 species